AUUGAACGCUGGCGGCAUGCCUUACACAUGCAAGUCGAACGGCAGCGGACCUUCGGGUGCCGGCGAGUGGCGAACGGGUGAGUAAAGUAUCGGAACGUACCUUUCAGUGGGGGAUAACGUAGCGAAAGUUACGCUAAUACCGCAUCUUCUGUGAGCAGGAAAGCAGGGGAUCGCAAGACCUUGCGCUGAUUGAGCGGCCGAUAUCAGAUUAGCCAGUUGGGGAGGUAAAGGCUCACCAAGGCGACGAUCUGUAGCGGGUCUGAGAGGAUGAUCCGCCACACUGGAACUGAGACACGGUCCAGACUCCUACGGGAGGCAGCAGUGGGGAAUUUUGGACAAUGGGGGCAACCCUGAUCCAGCCAUGCCGCGUGAGUGAAGAAGGCCUUCGGGUUGUAAAGCUCUUUCGUCCGGGAAGAAAUCGCAUCAGCUAAUACCUGGUGUGGAUGACGGUACCGGAAUAAGAAGCACCGGCUAACUACGUGCCAGCAGCCGCAGUAACAC
rnacentral:rRNA from 1 species